UUUCCGUAGGUGAACUUGCGGAAGGAUCAUUCAUAAUAAAGUGUUUUAUGGCACUUUUUAAAAAUCCAUAUCCACCUUGUGUGCAAUGUUAGAUCUCGUCAAUCUUGGCGAGAUUUUUAUACAUCAACUCAUUCUUUAACUAAUUUGUCUGAAAAAUAUUGUGAAUACUUAAUUCAAAAUGCAACUUUCAACAACGGAUCUCUUGGCUCUC
rnacentral:misc_RNA from 1 species